GACGGAGGGUACGAGCGUUAUUCGUUUUGAUUGGGUGUAAAGGGUGCGUAGGUGGCGUCGUAAGUCGGGUGUGAAAUUUCGGAGCUUAACUCCGAAACUGCGUUCGAUACUGCGGUGCUUGAGGACUGGAGAGGAGACUGGAAUUUACGGUGUAGCAGUGAAAUGCGUAGAGAUCGUAAGGAAGACCAGUGGCGAAGGCGGGUCUCUGGACAGUUCCUGACACUGAGGCACGAAGGCCAGGGGAGCAAACGGG
rnacentral:rRNA from 1 species